rnacentral:rRNA from 1 species
AUUGAACGCUGGCGGCAGGCCUAACACAUGCAAGUCGAACGGUAACAGGAAGAAGCUUGCUUCUUUGCUGACGAGUGGCGGACGGGUGAGUAAUGUCUGGGAAACUGCCUGAUGGAGGGGGAUAACUACUGGAAACGGUAGCUAAUACCGCAUAACGUCGCAAGACCAAAGAGGGGGACCUUCGGGCCUCUUGCCAUCGGAUGUGCCCAGAUGGGAUUAGCUAGUAGGUGGGGUAACGGCUCACCUAGGCGACGAUCCCUAGCUGGUCUGAGAGGAAGACCAGCCAGACUGGAACUGAGACACGGUCCAGGCUCCGACGGGGGGCCGCAGUGGGGAAUAUUGCACAAUGGGCGAGAGCCGGAUGCAGCCAUGCCGCGUGUAUGAAGAAGGCCUUCGGGUUGUAAAGUACUUUAAGCGGGGAGGAAGGGAGUAAAGUUAAUACCUGUACUCAUUGACGUUACCCGCAGAAGAAGCACCGGCUAACUCCGU